rnacentral:rRNA from 1 species
UACGGAGGGGGCUAGCGUUGUUCGGAAUUACUGGGCGUAAAGCGCGCGUAGGCGGCUUUGUAAGUUAGAGGUGAAAGCCCAGGGCUCAACCCUGGAAUUGCCUUUAAGACUGCAUCGCUUGAACAUCGGAGAGGUAAGUGGAAUUCCGAGUGUAGAAGUGAAAUUCGUAGAUAUUCGGAAGAACACCAGUGGCGAAGGCGACUUACUGGACGAUUGUUGACGCUGAGGUGCGAAAGCGUGGGGAACAAACAGG